rnacentral:rRNA from 1 species
GUUGAAACACCAGUUCCGUACGUACGAUCAUCGAAGUUAAGCAACGUCGAGCCUGAUCAGUACCUAGAUGGGUGACCGCUUGGGAAUGCCAGGUACAGUA